AUCCAGCUGAUGAGUCCCAAAUGGGACGAAACGUGCGUCCUGGAU
rnacentral:hammerhead_ribozyme from 1 species